GACGAACGCUGGCGGCGUGCUUAACACAUGCAAGUCGAACGGUGAAGCGAGUGCUUGCACUCGUGGAUCAGUGGCGAACGGGUGAGUAACACGUGAGUAACCUGCCCAUCACUCUGGGAUAAGCACUGGAAACGGUGUCUAAUACUGGAUACGACCAACCCUUGCACGGGGUGUUGGUGGAAAGAUUUAUCGGUGAUGGAUGGACUCGCGGCCUAUCAGCUUGUUGGCGGGGUAAUGGCCCACCAAGGCGACGACGGGUAGCCGGCCUGAGAGGGUGACCGGCCACACUGGGACUGAGACACGGCCCAGACUCCUACGGGAGGCAGCAGUGGGGAAUAUUGCACAAUGGGCGAAAGCCUGAUGCAGCGACGCCGCGUGAGGGAUGACGGCCUUCGGGUUGUAAACCUCUUUCAGCAGGGAAGAAGCGAAAGUGACGGUACCUGCAGAAGAAGCACCGGCUAACUACGUG
rnacentral:rRNA from 1 species